AACUGGCUCCAAAUUUCCCCGGGUGAUCCCCGGCCCGCUCCAACCUGCCGUCGAUGCGACCGCCCCCCCGGAGGGGCUGCUCGAGCCGUUCCCAGCCGCUCCCCCCGCCGCCUCCCCGCUAAUGAGCGUGUGUGUUGACACGGCGAGGCGAUGCCCCCGUUUGCUUUUGUUUGGGAGGUGUGAAAGAGGGAAUCUGCAUGAGAAAAGCCGGCGGCAACCGCGGAGCUCCGCGCGGCAGCGGCGGGACGGAGCGAGCCCGAAACACAAGGGACAACCGCAAUAAUUUCCAAGAAGGAAAGGCUUCCCUCUGGAGAAGCCAAGAGGGACCUGCAGCAGAGUCCUGGUACGGUGUGGCAGUGACACUGAUUCCAUCUGACACCUGGGUGUCUCCAAAGCCAUCACACUGUGUGCUGCAAAUGUAUAUUAUUAACAUUAGUAUGCAUUGGCACAAUAUGGAUCCAUUAUUCCAAAUGCUUAUGAGAACUAGGUGCUGCCUAGGAGCAGCUGCUGCUUUUUAAGCCUCAGAGCAUCAAUAGAUUCAUAGAUUUUAGGGCCAGAAGGGACCCCAGCGAGCCUGGAGCCUGACCUCCCACAGAAUGGGAGCUGGGGGUGAUUUUUGCAUCCUGCCCCACAACUUGUGGGCUGCCAGCUGAGGGCUGAUGUCUCCCUCUGUAAAUUUGUUCCCUUGUUUUAUCAGCACUCUCCUCGUUAAUCCUAAAAGGGCAGAUUUUCAUUUCAAAGCUCAGCUUGUGUAGGUCCAGCUUUCCACCUCCUUGGAUUGCCUCCUCUGUGUAAGAAAACCCAUUUUCCCUCUUUUGUUGGAGUAGCAGCGAUGUUGGAGAAAAGAAAAACAAAAUCAAUGUCCUGGAAUGUCAUCUGGAAAAAGGAUUGGUGCUUCUUAAGGGUGGAAAUGGUACCUGGCAAGUGUUCAAAUCUUGGGUGAUUCCCUGACUGUAAGCACUUCAGCUUUAGUCUUUGUUUAAAAAAAAAUAAAUCUGCAUUUUGUAGAGAGGGGUGAUGCUGGAGGACUUUGGGUUUAUAGUGCUUCCAGAAAAUGAGAGAAAAGAGAGAAUGAAAAUCCACUAAAUCAACGAAAUAAAAGGAGCUGAAAGUCCUA